AACGAACGCUGGCGGCAGGCCUAACACAUGCAAGUCGAGCGAGGACUUCGGUCCUAGCGGCGGCCGGGUGAGUAACGCGUGGGAACGUGCCCUUUGCUUCGGAAUAGCCCUGGGAAACUGGGAGUAAUACCGGAUGAGCCCUUUGGGGGAAAGAUUUAUCGGCGAAGGAUCGGCCCGCGUUGGAUUAGGUAGUUGGUGGGGUAAUGGACUACCAAGCCGACGAUCCAUAGCUGGUUUGAGAGGAUGAUCAGCCACACUGGGACUGAGACACGGCCCAGACUCCUACGGGAGGCAGCAGUGGGGAAUCUUAGACAACGGCGGAAACCAUGAUCUAGCCAUGCCGCGUGAGCGAUGAAGGCCUUAGGGUUGUAAAGCUCUUUCAGCUGGGAAGAUAAUGACGGUACCAGCAGAAGAAGCCCCGGCUAACUCCGUG
rnacentral:rRNA from 1 species